rnacentral:rRNA from 1 species
ACGGAAGGCAGCAGUGGGGAAUAUUGGACAAUGGGGGAAACCCUGACCCAGCGACGCCGCGUGAGUGAAGAAGUAUUUCGGUAUGUAAAGCUCUAUCAGCAGGGAAGAUAAUGACGGUACCUGACUAAGAAGCCCCGGCUAACUACGUGCCAGCAGCCGCGGUAAUACGUAGGGGGCAAGCGUUAUCCGGAUUUACUGGGUGUAAAGGGAGCGUAGACGGAAGGCCAAGUCUGAUGUGAAAACCCAGGGCUCAACCCUGGGACUGCAUUGGAAACUGGUCAUCUAGAGUGCAGGAGGGGUAAGCGGAAUUCCUAGUGUAGCGGUGAAAUGCGUAGAUAUUAGGAGGAACACCAGUGGCGAAGGCGGCUUACUGGACUGUAACUGACGUUGAGGCUCGAAAGCGUGGGGAGCAAACAGGAUUAGAUACCCUGGUA